CAAAGUUUCCUCGGCGCAGGCAGCUUGGCGCAGGGCUGCCCAGGGAGACGGGCUUCUGAAGCUGCGCCUCGGAGUGGCUCUUCUUCCAGCGCCUCUCCGCCUCGUCCCCCACCUGAUCCGAGCGGGGAGUAGAUUUUCCAAAGGAAGGGGAGGAAAGGGGGGUAAUAUCGAGAACCAGAGAGAGGAGCGGCCACAACUGAGCCCACACGCUCCUUUCCUGCCCGAUGCCCUGGAAUUGACGGAGGAUGGGCCUGUGGGGUUCAAGAAGAGAAUGACAGAGAAAGCCAAGUUGACGCGGAGGGGUUGGAUACCAGCAAGGGUGUCCCCGUCUCCGUUUCCACGGGCGUGAAGACUUGUAGGCGCCUCCGGCGCGAGAGCUCUAAACCGCCACCCCUUCCCGCUCCCCUUGGAAGGAGACGCCGGCCGAGCGGAGGGAGGGGGAGUCGCGGAAAAGCCGCUGGCCCUGCGUGCGUCGCCGCCUCAGCUGUGGAUUUUAAGGACGGGAAAGAGAAGUAACGGCGUCUCAAGGGAAUCCUUUGGAGAUGCUUUCAAGAUGUAGAACCCUUUUAUGUGAAGUAACCCACAUGAAGUUGCAGCGUCCACAUUGAAGUCACUUCAUAUUAUGGAAUUGAAGAGCGCCUCUGGAAGCUGCGCCAGGAGCUGCCUGGGCUUCUAAAGUGUCCGAUGGAGUUUUAAUCAUCUAAGCUUUGAAAUAGGGUCGUGCCAAGAGGCCCAUAGUGAAACACUGAAAGUGGCCACCAUCAGCAUGAGGACCCCAACAAGUCAAACUGGUGAGAUGAGCAAAACAGAAGGCAGCUUUCAAGGUUUGUUUCAAGCAGUUGGCUUGUGGGAAUCCGAGAGACGCUGCUGUCCAUGACAUGUUGGAGUUAUCAUGAUCAACUACUCAGUCUGGAUUUCACCCAGUGGCCAACAGAUCUGCAUGGUAGACAGCAAGGGUUGGAUUUUUAAGAAGAGUAA